rnacentral:rRNA from 1 species
GAAAGGCUGACGCAGCGACGCCGCGUGUGGGAUGAAGCUCUUCGGGGUGUAAACCACUGUUGCCCGGGACGAACGGGCGGAUUAAUCCGCCGUGACGGUACCGGGUGAGGAAGCACCGGCUAACUCCGUGCCAGCAGCCGCGGUAAUACGGAGGGUGCGAGCGUUGUCCGGAAUCACUGGGCGUAAAGGGCGCGUAGGUGGUUCGGUAAGCGUGUGGUGAAAGCCCGGGGCUCAACCCCGGGUCGGCCGUGCGAACUGUCGAACUGGAGCACUGUAGAGGCAGGUGGAAUUCCGGGUGUAGCGGUGGAAUGCGUAGAGAUCCGGAAGAACACCGGUGGCGAAGGCGGCCUGCUGGGCAGUUGCUGACGCUGAGGCGCGACAGCGUGGGGAGCAAACAGGAUUA